rnacentral:rRNA from 1 species
AAUCAACGCUGGCGGCGUGCCUCAGACAUGCAAGUCGAACGCGAAAGGUUCCUUCGGGAACCCGGUAGAGUGGCGCACGGGUGAGUAACACGUGGGUAAUUUGCCUUCGGGUGGGGAAUAACAGUCGGAAACGGCUGCUAAUACCGCAUAAUGCAGCGGCAUCAUAAGAUGACAGUUGUUAAAGCGGGGGAUCGUAAGACCUCGCGCCUGAAGAGAAGCCCGCGGCGGAUUAGGUAGUUGGGAGGUAAUGGCUCACCAAGCCCGCGAUCCGUAACCGGCCUGAGAGGGCGGUCGGUCACACUGACACUGACAUACGGGUCAGACUCCUACGGGAGGCAGCAGUCGGGAAUUUGGGCAAUGGGCGCAAGCCUGACCCAGCAACGCCGCGUGAAGGAUGAAGCAUUUCGGUGUGUAAACUUCACAAGAAUGGGAAGAAUAAGUUAAGGCGAAUACCCUUGACGAUGACGGUACUAUUUGUAAGCUCCGGCUAACUCCGUGCCAGCCGCCGCGGUAAC